UACGUAGGGUGCAAGCGUUGUCCGGAAUUAUUGGGCGUAAAGGGCUCGUAGGCGGUUUGUCGCGUCGGGAGUGAAAACCAGGUGCUUAACACCUGGCUUGCUUUCGAUACGGGCAGACUAGAGGUAUGCAGGGGAGAACGGAAUUCCUGGUGUAGCGGUGAAAUGCGCAGAUAUCAGGAGGAACACCUGCGGCGAAGGCGGGUUGCUGGGCUGACACUGACGCUGAUGCGCGAAAGCUAGGGGAGCGAACGGG
rnacentral:rRNA from 1 species